UGGGGAAUAUUGGACAAUGGGCGCAAGCCUGAUCCAGCCAUGCCGCGUGAGUGAUGAAGGCCCUAGGGUUGUAAAGCUCUUUCACCGGUGAAGAUAAUGACGGUAACCGGAGAAGAAGCCCCGGCUAACUUCGUGCCAGCAGCCGCGGUAAUACGAAGGGGGCUAGCGUUGUUCGGAUUUACUGGGCGUAAAGCGCACGUAGGCGGACUUUUAAGUCAGGGGUGAAAUCCCGGGGCUCAGCCCCGGAACUGCCUUUGAUACUGGAAGUCUUGAGUAUGGUAGAGGUGAGUGGAAUUCCGAGUGUAGAGGUGAAAUUCGUAGAUAUUCGGAGGAACACCAGUGGCGAAGGCGGCUCACUGGACCAUUACUGACGCUGAGGUGCGAAAGCGUGGGGAGCAAACAGG
rnacentral:rRNA from 1 species